UACGAAGGGUGCAAACGUUGCUCGGAAUUACUGGGCGUAAAGGGCGCGUAGGCGGCCUUCUAAGUCGAACGUGAAAUCCCCGGGCUCAACCCGGGAACUGCGUCCGAUACUGGAAGGCUUGAAUCCGGGAGAGGGAUGCGGAAUUCCAGGUGUAGCGGUGAAAUUCGUAGAUAUUCGCAAGAACACCAGUGGCGAAGGCGGCUUACUGGUCCGGUUCUGACGCUGAGGCGCGAAAGCGUGGGGAGCAAACAGG
rnacentral:rRNA from 1 species